UAAACAGCGCUUCCAAUACUGUUAAUAUUCUCCACCUCGUGUGCCUCCACACCAGACUCUAUAGCCCCAAUCUGUGCCGAGUGCCGAGCGUGCUCUCACCUUACAGUGUGAGACCCUAUUCCUGGCAGGUCCUAAUACACAUUUCAGCACAGAUUUCUCUGAUCUCCCUCCAAGUGUCUCCUCUCCCUCAUUCACAGAUGUAGGCAAAUCAUUAAGCAAACAGACAGACCUCAUAGUGCUUUCCAUGAAGUCAGCUCUGCAUUUUAAUAAAAAAAAAGGAAAUCUGUGGGCCGUAUUUUCGGUGUGCCCAAAAAUUCAAGGACCCACUGGAGAUUGGAUCCCAGCUACAAGGGAUUUGCCCUUCCUUACUGGGUAAUGCAUAUAUGCAUUUUUGUUUAUGUUUUCCAUCAUCCAAGAUGGCGAUUUCUGCGGCCGCUUGGGACUCACAGCAAGGCUGCAUCAUCCAUUGUGUAUUUAUCAGCGGUGAAUCAGAACACCACCUGUAUCCUGUGACCACGUCCCUCUAAUGACAAAACGUUGGGAGGAACGACGUUCUGACGUCACCACCUUGCACGUUAGACACAGAAGAUACGGGCUACUAAUCGAAGAGCCGGCCGGCUCGAUUGCUUUUUAUGCCAUACUUUGAUGUUAUAACUGUAAGUGCGCAUUUUUUAAUUACUUUAAUAAACUGUUAAAGAAUUUUA